rnacentral:rRNA from 1 species
UGGGGAAUCUUGGACAAUGGGGGCAACCCUGAUCCAGCCAUGCCGCGUGAGUGAUGAAGGCCUUAGGGUCGUAAAGCUCUUUCAACGGUGAAGAUAAUGACGGUAACCGUAGAAGAAACCCCGGCUAACUCCGUGCCAGCAGCCGCGGUAAUACGGAGGGGGUUAGCGUUGUUCGGAAUUACUGGGCGUAAAGCGCACGUAGGCGGACCAGAAAGUUGGGGGUGAAAUCCCGGGGGCUCAACCCCGGAACUGCCUCCAAAACUAUUGGUCUAGAGUUCGAGAGAGGUGAGUGGAAUUCCAAGUGUAGAGGUGAAAUUCGUAGAUAUUUGGAGGAACACCAGUGGCGAAGGCGGCUCACUGGCUCGAUACUGACGCUGAGGUGCGAAAGUGUGGGGAGCAAACAGGAUUAGAUACCCUGGUAGUCCACACCGUAAAACGAUGAAUGCCAGUCGUCGGGGUAGCAUGCUAUUCGGUGACACACCUAACGGAUUAAGCA